rnacentral:rRNA from 1 species
UGGGGAAUAUUGGACAAUGGGCGCAAGCCUGAUCCAGCCAUGCCUCGUGAGUGAUGAAGGCCCUAGGGUUGUAAAGCUCUUUCACCGGUGAAGAUAAUGACGGUAACCGGAGAAGAAGCCCCGGCUAACUUCGUGCCAGCAGCCGCGGUAAUACGAAGGGGGCUAGCGUUGUUCGGAUUUACUGGGCGUAAAGCGCACGUAGGCGGACUUUUAAGUCAGGGGUGAAAUCCCGGGGCUCAACCCCGGAACUGCCUUUGAUACUGGAAGUCUUGAGUAUGGUAGAGGUGAGUGGAAUUCCGGGUGUAGAGGUGAAAUUCGUAGAUAUUCGGAGGAACACCAGUGGCGAAGGCGUCUCACUGGACCAUUACUGACGCUGAGGUGCGAAAGCGUGGGGAGCAAACAGG